rnacentral:rRNA from 1 species
AACGAACGCUGGCGGCAGGCUUAACACAUGCAAGUCGAACGGUUGUAGCAAUACAGCAGUGGCAGACGGGUGAGUAACACGUGGGAACCUUCCUAGGGGGUACGGAACAACUCAGGGAAACUUGAGCUAAUACCGUAUACGUCCGUGAGGAGAAAGAUUUAUCGCCCUUAGACGGGCCCGCGUCGGAUUAGCUAGUUGGUGGGGUAACGGCCUACCAAGGCGACGAUCCGUAGCUGAUCUUAGAGGAUGAUCAGCCACACUGGGACUGAGACACGGCCCAGACUCCUACGGGAGGCAGCAGUGGGGAAUCUUGGACAAUGGGCGCAAGCCUGAUCCAGCCAUGCCGCGUGAGUGAAGAAGGUCUUCGGAUUGUAAAGCUCUUUUG